AGUUUGUACUGUUAUCAAGAAUAAAUCUACUCAAUAUGAAUUUCUGGGCUUUAUUUGCAAUUGUUAUGGUUGCUUUAUUGCAAUUUGCUAAUGUAGCAGUGGCUUUACCACAAGGUCAACAUGGUAAACAUGAUGGACCACCAGGAGGAAGUCAACGAGGACCACCACCAUCAGAUUCAACGUCAUAGAUGAACUACCAAUUUAUUAUCAAUAUAUGCUGACUUUAGUUAGUUUUUUGGAUAUUGAUUUGAUUCUCGCUGCUUUACUUUCUUCAAAUUGUAUUAUUUCACUUUAUUAAUGUAGAUUAUUAUUCAUGAAUAAAUAAAUUACAUUAAUAAAGUGAAAUAAGUUUGUAAAUUUAGAACAAAGGAUACAAGUGA